rnacentral:rRNA from 1 species
AGAGGGUGCGAGCGUUAAUCGGAAUCACUGGGCGUAAAGGGCGCGUAGGUGGAUAAAUAAGUUGGCUGUGAAAUGCCCGGGCUUAACCUGGGAAGGUCAGCCAAAACUGAUUAUCUAGAGUAUGGUAGAGGGUAGUGGAAUUUCCGGUGUAGCGGUGAAAUGCGUAGAUAUCGGAAGGAACACCAGUGGCGAAGGCGGCUACCUGGACCAAUACUGACACUGAGGCGCGAAAGCGUGGGUAGCAAACAGGGAUUAGAUACCCUGGUAGUCCACGCCGUAAACGAUGACAACUAGCCGUUGGUGCUUUUAAGCAUGAGUGGCGCAGCUAACGCGAUAAGUUGUCCGCCUGGGGAGUACGGCCGCAAGGUUA